UGAAACAGGAAAGACAAAAUGGAGUUAGUAGCUAAAGAUCAUGCACAACAAGGACCUCACAAGAUCUUACAGGUGAGAGAGAGGUAUCAUAGGAACUCCAGCCCUCCCAUGGCUCAAGCAAUGGCAGCUUAAGGAAUGAUCUAAUGUGGCCAGAGAGAGUGACAGGAAUGGUGAAAGUCCUUGGACCUUAAAAUGGGGAAUGGUGGGGAGCCAUCAGAGUGUGAACUGCAGCAGACAAAUAGAGAGAGGGUUGGGUUGGUGCCAAUAGCAGGGGUAAUAGAGUAGAAAGCUGCCCAGAGUGUUGAUGAGGGAAGGGUAUUAGAUCUUGACAUUGAAGAACACACAUAGCUGAAAUGGGAAAGCCUUUUGCUCUUCCCAGUAUAGUUGGAAGAGCAGUGACUCCUGGGAGGCCCUGGUUAUGACAAAAUGGGCGAGUUGAACUUAAACCAUUUGAAGGCCUUUUACAGUUUCCAAGUAGGUUAUAGACUCUGUCUCUGGGGCACUUAGGAGGGCCAGAGUGACAAGUAACAGGAAAGGACACAUCUACAGGGUUUAGUAGCAACCAUUCAACCUGAGUCUUAGUGCAUCUGCUCUUGAUUUUAGGCAGAAAAUGUAUUGUUUUUAAGUUUUCAUCAUAAUUUCAUCAUUUUAAAGUUUCCAUGUAUCUGAUUCUUUUUUCUAGUAUCUUAAAAGCUUUUGGGACUAGGGAUAGUGUUGAGAAAGAUUUUCAUUCUGUUGCUUUGCCUGGACUUUACUUAUCCUGUAAACAAGGCUCAAACAGCAAUCCUCUGGGUACUGAAUUAUAGGCAUGUGCCACAACACUUGGCUUAAGUGACUUCACGUAAAAAUGUGAAACAUUCUAAGAACAUUAGUAUUCCUGUUUUCUGAGAAGUCUAUUUAGAAGACUGUGAGCAGUGUUAAGAAGUUUUCAUAUGGCUGUUUUCUUCUUGUACAUUCCCUCAGAGUUCCUGGGUGUCAGGCAGUCUUUCUCUGUCUCUCUCCCUUCCCACCAAAAGAAGAAAAUCUGUAAGCAAGUGUUUAGAAGCACCAUUUGUCUAUUACAGAUUACCUUCUACCUGUUUGUACACAUAACGUUUAAUGAUCAGAUGGUCUUGUUUUGUAAAUAGUGGAAAAUUAUUGAGUAUCUUUUCUACCUAUAAAUCAGUUCCUCAGAUAGUCUUUAAAUUACAGAUGCAUAGGAUAAUAUGGGAUGUGAGUUAACCACCACCCAAACUCCAAAUCUUACUAAGUAGCUAAAUUUGCCACCUUCCUGUUUUUGUCAGCUUCAGUAUCAGAUACGACACAGCAGCCAUCUGAAGAGCAAAGCAAGUCUCUUGAAAAACCAAAACAAAAAAAGAAUCGCUGUUUCAUGUGCAGGAAGAAAGUGGGACUUACUGGGUUUGAAUGCCGGUGUGGAAAUGUUUACUGUGGUGUGCACCGUUACUCAGAUGUUCACAAUUGCUCUUACAAUUACAAAGCUGAUGCUGCUGAGAAAAUCAGAAAAGAAAAUCCAGUAGUUGUUGGUGAAAAGAUCCAGAAGAUUUGAACUCCUGCUGGAAUACAAAAUCCUUUGACUAUCUGCAAACUAAACAUUGACUUGAGGUUUUUUUUCCUAGUCCUUGGGAAUGUAGAGCACCGUAUCUUGCAUAGACCGUUGAAUCAUGCAUGUCAUCAGAAGAAUAGAUUUUUGUUUUUGUUUUGAAAAUGACUCUGAACAUUUAUUUCCAUUGCAGUUUCUGUGGCUGAAAAGAAGUAUUAUACUUUUAAGAUCAUUUUAAUUUUAGUUGAGUGCAGAGGGCUUUUAUAACAAAUGUGGAGAAAUUCUGGAGGGCUGUGAUUUUUUUCCAGUAUUAAACAUGCAUGCGUUGAUCUUGCAGUUUAUUUCUCAUUGUGUAUGUAUAUAUAGCUUUUCUCUGCAGCACGAUUCCCUUUUGAUAAGGCCCUUCUGGGUACAACUAGUUAUCAGUAACUGAAUGUAUCUUAAUCAUUACGGCUGCUUCUGUUUGUUUGGUUUUUCAUUAACAAAGGUUAUACAUAUGUUAGCAUAUAGUUUCUUUACAUCCACUAUUUAUGUUUGAAUCAUUUGUCACAGCAGAAUAUGUGCUGACGA
rnacentral:lncRNA from 1 species